GUUCAAAAACUGUAAGUAGCAGUUAAAAAAGGCAAUGGCAAGUUAAAAUAAUAAUAAUAAACUGUACAAAAUACGGAUUCUAAUCACGUGAAUGACCUUAAGUUUUUUGCCUUUAACGUUACCUGAUACAACGAUUUAGCCUACCCACACCUAUCCUACAUUGGCUUCUGCUUUGUGGUACACGGUGAACCCGCAAACACCUCCACCUGGUGUUCGAAGCAGGAAUUACAGUCUGCCCAGAUCCAGGGUCAUUUAAGAUUGACUCCUAGAUCUGUCAGGUACUGGAUCUCAGGGGUGAGCAUUUUUCGGCAGAGCUCGCUGUACUCCUGGUCAAUGUUGGUCCUCAGAUUGUAUCCUAAAAUAGAGUUUUCUCCCAGCGGCUGCCAGGGCUUCAUGCUUUCGUCCCUUAUGUCUCCCUCCUCCACUGCCUUCCCGCCGUCGAUGCAGAUGGCCGACAUCUCCAUGUUCCUCCUGCGCAGUUCCCUCACGUCCCUCUCCAUCCGCUUCCUGCCGUAGGCGUCCACCCUGGCCCAUAAGGUUGCGUUAAAGUGCCGGUACAGCCUCCAGUCUGCACCGUUCCAGGCUCGGCCCUUGGCUUUGAGUUCAGGUGUGAGCAGGGACACACUCGCACCUCUGCGGGCGUUGAGUUUAAAAUAGAGCAAGUCGUCCAUCUGCCAGCAGAGAGCGUCCUUGAGCAGAAUGAGAGAUUCCUCAAAGUGUUCAGCAAUCAGAACCAACUGGAAGCGCUCAGAAAUGGCCUGGAUGGCCUGGUCCACGGCUACGUCCUCUGGCUCCAAGGUGUUGUCGUGCCCAAGAUCAAAAAGCUGCAAGUUCUUGAGGUAAAAGGAAUUAAUCCCAUCUGGACUGAAGUACCUCUCAGGCUCUUUAAUAAAGGCACUCAGUUUGUCCUCCCCUCGGAUCCUCCAGGUCAGGGGCAUCACCCGGUUGUAGUAGUGAAAGGAUGACUCGAACACUAGUGCUGGGUCUCUGAGGAUGGUGAAGAAGAAGGCAUCGUCUGGAAGAAGAGCCUCUACUUCAGGCGCAUUGAAGCGCAUGUGGUUGCACAAGAUAUUGAAGCACUCCCCAGGCCUGUAGUCCUUCACCAGAGUGUGGUCGAAAGGAGCCGGGUACAAGAAGUCGUUGCGACUGUCGGGAAGAGCAAACCUCAGCUGGUUCUUCUGCCCAAAGCGUAGGAGGAUGUUGAGGAUGGUGCUGCUUGCCGCCUUGUGGGUCUUCAGGAACAUCAAGUUGACCUUCGGCGUGCAGCGCUCCAUCUUGCUGAUGCCCAGAGGUACAUGGAACAGCUUCUGUUCUUGUGUCUUUUGAGCUGGAGGAUGUCUACAUGAAGCGGCCACUGGUAAUCUGAAAUCAGAAAGAUCUAUUACUUGGGUUAGCACAAUAUAUAAUUGUAAUUAUCAUAGCUGAUACUGAUACAGCAACUUUGAGUGUCUGCAGAUAUUGAUACAAUACUGGUUGUGAAAGUUAGCAGUCACCAUCCCUUUUGUUUCUUCACUCAUAUUCAUUGUUUCAGCUCCACUGAUCAUACAGGACAUUUUGUAGUUCUUUAAUGAAUUACAGAAUGUAGUUCUGUAUCUGUUCCCCUGCAUACUUUAUUAUUAUCCUCCUUUUAACUUGUUCUUCAAUACUCAGGACCACAAAAGAGAGACGAUCACAAAGAUACAGUUAUUAUUAUUUGGGUGGUGGGUCAUUAUUGUCAGCACUGAACUAAUUAGCACUGAUUAGCAUGGUGGUGGUGUAUGAGGUGUUAGUGUGUGUUGUGCUGGAUCAGAAACAGCAGUGCUGCUGGAGUUUUUAAACACCUCAUUGUCACUGCUGGACUGAGAAUAUUCCACCAAAACAAACUGCAGCACCACCACCCAAAUAAUAACAGCUGUUCUGUGGUGGUCUCUUUCUCCUGUGGGGUCCUGAGUAUUGAAUAAUAGUGUGAAAGAAUAAUAAUAAUAAAGUAUGCAGAGAAAAAUAAGUAAUUAUCUGUUAUGUUGAGAGCCUGGGUGAUGUACUGUACCUCUGUGUGUCAGCCUGCAAUCCAGGUGUAGAAAAGCAAUAAAGCACCAUGGUGACGCAGAUGAAGAGGAAACCCAGAACCAGUUUCUGCACACCUGACCUGGAGGUGUGAUGAGACAUGUUUCCACCGUCUCUCCAAAGUGAUUCCUGAAAACCUAUUGACACAUAAACAAACAGAACAUACUUUCAGGAACUUUGCUGUACUUUCAGUGACUCAGCAAAUGGAACAAUAAAAAAAUAACAAUAGUCAAAUAAUCAGCAAUCAAAAUAAACCUAUUUUAAAUACAUUUUAAAUAAAUCUAUUUUUUUGUGCUAACAUGUGCAUUUCACCUGGUAAUUUUAAAGUGUUUUUAAUCUUUAAAUGUAUUUUAACAUAAAUUAAACACAUCGCCAAUUUUGUCUGGAACCUCUUCAAUUUAACCUCUUUAAUUAAUUUUAUAGAAAGAGCAGUGGUGUAUUAGCUUUAUAUACAUUAAUUUAUAGAAUACUUUUAUAUAGUGUAUUUUAGUAAUUAAAUCUAUAUUCUACAUUUUAACUUAUUUACUAAUCGAUUUACUUUUUUAUAUACUAUCUUAGUUGUUCUGUAUUCCUUCAGUGUGAUCAGCAGUCAUCAAAGCAUUUCACUGCUAAUUGGACCGUGUUUGACUACGAAUGUGAUCAAUAAACAUUGAACUGUAUACCUUAUAGUAUUAGUGUGUAGCGUGCAAUUGGGAUGCAGCCGUAAAAGAAAGCCUUUACUGUACACAGUCGAGACAGAUACUGCAAUAAAAGCAAGAUAAAGUUGUUUGUAACACCCUUGAUUUCAGAAGAACACAAUAAAUUAGCAGGUGUCCCAACACUGUUGUCCACAAUGUUUGCCUGUAAAUGUACCUUCAUUGCUGUGUUUACUCUGGUAAACUCUGGUAAGGUCCCCGUGCACCUUCAGACAGGUGUAGAUACUGCCAUUCAUCAAGCCUGCUGUUGUUUUAAGGCUAGGCCAGUUUUAGCUUGGUUAAAAAGCAUGACAGGAAUGUAUCUGUGUGAGGUUUGAGAAAAAUUCACACGUACCAAGAAAAUGAUUGGCACUAGUGUAUUGAAGACAGUACAACAAAAUACUGUUGUUUAUGUAUUUAUUCUACUUUAUUGCACAAAGUGUUACAAACUGGAUCGAAGUGGAUUUUUUUACUCGCAAAACUAAACAGUGCUUCGGAUCAUUAACACCAAAUCAUCAGCACACAGCCUGCCUUGUUUGAAUAGAGGGCUCAUUCCUAGACAGCAUAAUGUAUGAGAGUGACGAGUGACGAGAAUUUGACGAGUUAUUUAUUCGAUUUUUUACGCUACAUGCCCAAAUAUGUGUGGAAAACCCUCCUAAUGAAUGUAUUUAGCUACUUCAGGUUCCACCCACUGUCAAUAUAAUCCUAAAGUAAUAUUACAGUAUUUCAGGGUAUUUUUGCAAUACUAAUAUUCUUAGCAAUAUAACUAAAAAUUGAUAUUUUAAAACUGAAUUCCAAUAAUAAUAAAUAUAAAACAAAUAUUAAUAAUAGUGUUGUAUUUAGUAGGUAUAUAAGAGAUAUUUAAGAGUUUAUAAUCAUCAGAGUUUUAUACGUUCAGUAGAAAAAAGAAAAUCUAUAAACCUAAUUUACAGUGACUUACAGAGAGUCUGAUUUUGUGUGUAAUAAUGAUAGUAUAACAGAAAGAAAAUCUACCACAAAACUGUUUGGCAUAUUUAGUGCACAUAAACUGCAAACAAAGAAUUAAAAGUAAAUACACUAAAUAGCUCAAUAAAUUUAAACUGACAUUUUAAAACGUUUUUGGCAAUUUUGUUGUAUAUAAUCUAAUAUGGUACACCCCAAGUCCCCAGUAUUGAGCUGUGGAGAAAUGGAACUGUGUUCUCCGGAAUGAUGGAGCUCUAUCCAAUACCCAAUAAGUUGGGGUCGCUAACUUUAAAGGAUAAAAGGUGGUUUAUAUUGUGUUCAAUUCACUAUAAAUCACCAAUACAUAAUUGUGCUAAACAAUAAGCUAAAUCGUUAGCAUUAGCUAUUACAAUGUAAUAAUCUAAUGCUUUUAAAUAAUGCAGAUUUAACUGGAACACAAUUAACUCAGACAGACGUCUGAAGUAAACAGAACAUAGAAUUAACUUCUUAGUUCAUCAGUUUGCUAGUAAAUUAUUUACUACUACUGUAUUUUAUGUAUUUAAGUCUGGAAACAGUACGGGCUGUAAUAAGAGAUGCUUACACAAAGAUUGAUGCUAAACCUGUAGACUAAGUUCCUGAAAUAUGCAGGAACUGAGCUAGAUAAUUAUCUUGAUAUGAUCUGAGCUUAUAUACAGUAACUCUAUUAUACAGUUCCAGUCAAACGUUUAGACACCUCUUUUCAUUUAGUGUUUUUCUUCAUUUGUUUAUUUUCUACAUUGUAGAUUAAUAUCAAAUACCUGAAGACAAUUAAGAGAUAUAUAUGGAAUUACAUAGUAACCAGUAAAAAAAGUGUUAAUCCUCCACAUUAAUCCCCUAAACUAAACCUAAUCAUCUAGGAUGGUAGUUCUGGGAUGAGAUGGAGCUUCACAGCGUGAAGGAAAAGCAGCAAUUAUUGUUCAGCACCUCCAGGAACUCCUUCUUUCAAGAUGCUGAGAAAACUAUUCC